CCUACGGGCGGCAGCAGUGGGGGAUAUUGCACAAUGGGGGGAACCCUGAUGCAGCGACGCCGCGUGGGUGAAGAAGCGCCUCGGCGCGUAAAGCCCUGUCAGCAGGGAAGAAAAUGACGGUACCUGAAGAAGAAGCCCCGGCUAACUACGUGCCAGCAGCCGCGGUAAUACGUAGGGGGCAAGCGUUAUCCGGAUUUACUGGGUGGAAAGGGGGCGCAGACGGCGAUGCAAGCCAGGAGUGAAAGCCCGGGGCCCAACCCCGGGACUGCUCUUGGAACUGCGUGGCUGGAGUGCAGGAGGGGCAGGCGGAAUUCCUGGUGGAGCGGUGAAAUGCGUAGAUAUCAGGAGGAACACCGGUGGCGAAGGCGGCCUGCUGGACUGCAACUGACGUUGAGGCCCGAAAGCGUGGGGAGCAAACAGGAUUAGAUACCCCAGUAGUC
rnacentral:rRNA from 1 species